rnacentral:rRNA from 1 species
UACGGAGGGGGCUAGCGUUGUUCGGAAUCAUUGGGCGUAAAGGGCGCGUAGGCGGCCGAUCAAGUCGGAGGUGAAAUCCCUCGGCUCAACUGAGGAAUUGCCUUCGAUACUGUUCGCCUUGAGUCCUGGAGAGGGUAGCGGAAUUCCCGGUGUAGCGGUGAAAUGCGUAGAGACCGGGAAGAACACCAGUGGCGAAGGCGGCUACCUGGACAAUUACUGACGCUCAGGCACGAAAGCAUGGGGAGCAAAAGGG